rnacentral:rRNA from 1 species
UACGUAGGGUGCAAGCGUUGUCCGGAAUUAUUGGGCGUAAAGAGCUCGUAGGCGGUCUGUCGCGUCGGAUGUGAAAACCCAGGGCUCAACCCUGGGCCUGCAUUCGAUACGGGUAGACUAGAAUUCGGUAGGGGAGACUGGAAUUCCUGGUGUAGCGGUGGAAUGCGCAGAUAUCAGGAGGAACACCGGUGGCGAAGGCGGGUCUCUGGGCCGACAUUGACGCUGAGGAGCGAAAGCGUGGGGAGCAAACAGG